ACCUGGGUGGCUCAGUUGGUUGAGCAUCUGACUUCGGCUCAGGUCAUGAUCUCACAGCUCGUGAAUUCGAGCCCCACGUC
rnacentral:tRNA from 1 species